rnacentral:tRNA from 1 species
GGGGAUGUAGCUCAAUGGUAGAGUGCUUGCCUAGCAUGUGUGAAGUUCUGGGUUCAAUACCCAGCACUGCAA